GCUCGGGUAGCUCAGCUUGGAUAGAGCGACUGCCUCCUAAGCAGUAGGCCGGGAGUUCAAAUCCCCCCCCGAGCG
rnacentral:tRNA from 1 species